AUUGAACGCUGGCGGCAGGCUUAACACAUGCAAGUCGAACGGUAACAGGAAGAAAGCUUGCUUUCUUUGCUGACGAGUGGCGGACGGGUGAGUAAUGCUUGGGAAUCUGCCUUAUGGAGGGGGAUAACUACGGGAAACUGUAGCUAAUACCGCGUAAUAUCUUCGGAUUAAAGUGUGGGACCUUCGGGCCACAUGCCAUAAGGUGAGCCCAAGUGAGAUUAGGUAGUUGGUGAGGUAAAGGCUCACCAAGCUGACGAUCUCUAGCUGGUUUGAGAGGAUGAUCAGCCACACUGGAACUGAGACACGGUCCAGACUCCUACGGGAGGCAGCAGUGGGGAAUAUUGCACAAUGGGCGCAAGCCUGAUGCAGCCAUGCCGCGUGAAUGAAGAAGGCUUUCGGGUUGUAAAGUUCUUUCAGCGAUGAGGAAGGUGCAUUAUCUAAUAGGUGAUGUAAUUGACGUUAGUCGCAGAAGAAGCACCGGCUAACUCCGUGCCAGCAGCCGCGGUAAUACGGAGGGUGCGAGCGUUAAUCGGAAUAACUGGGCGUAAAGGGCACGCAGGCGGUUGUCUAAGUCAGAUGUGAAAGCCCCGAGCUUAACUUGGGAAUUGCAUUUGAGACUGGGCGACUAGAGUCCUCUAGGGAGGGGUAGAAUUCCACGUGUAGCGGUGAAAUGCGUAGAGAUGUGGAGGAAUACCGAAGGCGAAGGCAGCCCCUUGGAGAGAGACUGACGCUGAGGUGCGAAAGCGUGGGUAGCAAACAG
rnacentral:rRNA from 1 species